UACAGAGGUGCCGAGCGUUAGGCGGAAUCACUGGGCUUAAAGCGUGUGUAGGCGGACCGGUAAGUACCUUGUGAAAUCCCACGGCUCAACCGUGGAACUGCUGGGUAUACUGCCGGUCUUGAGCGACUUAGGGGCAGACGGAACAAGUGGUGGAGCGGUGAAAUGCGUAGAUAUCACUUGGAACGCCGACGGUGAAACAGU
rnacentral:rRNA from 1 species